GACGAACGCUGGCGGCGUGCUUAACACAUGCAAGUCGAACGGUGAAGCGCCUUCCUUUUUGGUGGGUGUGGAUGAGUGGCGAACGGGUGAGUAACACGUGAGUAACCUGCCCCCUUCUUCUGGAUAACCGCAUGAAAGUGUGGCUAAUACGGGAUAUUCUGGGUCUGUCGCAUGAUGGGUCUGGGAAAGAUAUUGUUUCGGUGGGGGAUGGGCUCGCGGCCUAUCAGCUUGUUGGUGGGGUGAUGGCCUACCAAGGCGGUGACGGGUAGCCGGCCUGAGAGGGUGGACGGUCACACUGGGACUGAGACACGGCCCAGACUCCUACGGGAGGCAGCAGUGGGGAAUAUUGCACAAUGGGCGCAAGCCCGAUGCAGCGACGCCGCGUGAGGGAUGGAGGCCCGCGGGUUGUGAACCUCUUUCGCCAGUGAAGCAGGCCUGCCUCGUUUGUGGGUGGGUUGACGGUAGCUGGAUAAGAAGCGCCGGCUAACUACGUG
rnacentral:rRNA from 1 species